rnacentral:rRNA from 1 species
GAUGUCUACUAGCCGUUGGAGGACUUGAUCCUUUAGUGGCGCAGCUAACGCGAUAAGUAGACCGCCUGGGGAGUACGGUCGCAAGAUUAAAACUCAAAUGAAUUGACGGGGGCCCGCACAAGCGGUGAAGCAUGUGGUUUAAUUCGAAGCAACGCGAAGAACCUUACCUACUCUUGACAUCCAGUGAACUUUUGAGAGAUCAAUUGGUGCCUUCGGGAACACUGAGACAGGUGCUGCAUGGCUGUCGUCAGCUCGUGUUGUGAAAUGUUGGGUUAAGUCCCGUAACGAGCGCAACCCUUGUCCUUAGUUACCAUCAUUAAGUUGGGGACUCUAAGGAGACUGCCGGUGACAAACCGGAGGAAGGUGGGGACGACGUCAAGUCAUCAUGGCCCUUACGAGUAGGGCUACACACGUGCUACAAUGGCAUGUACAAAGGGUUGCCAAGCCGCGAGGUGGAGC